AACAUGACCUGCAAGCUGGUUUAUAUCGCUGCGUGAAUUUUGUGCUCUCAGCAUUCAGGUGACUCAAUUUAGCUUCUUCCCAGGCUCAGGGAGCAGUGAAGAAGAGGCUGAAAGGAUUUCUGAACUGGAGGAAGGGGAACGAACUACAGAAUGUAUCUUCCUGCUGUGGACUUGCACGUUGCUUCAUGAUGUCAUCAUGUCCUGAGGUUUCCAAAGAACCUUAUAUUUGUACAUAUCCAAAGGGGUCUCCUUGGAGGCUGUGAUGUGCAUCUAUGCAAAGGCUGAGGCUGAGCAGAACAGAUCUCCAAUAGUCAUCUUACUGACCCUCAAGGGACAAGAUGCAGCACAUGACCAGGGCCUGCUUUGCCCCCAUUUUAGGGCAGAAGAGACAAAGCAUGGAGACCUGUGGGCAAACCAGAACACGUCAGUGUAUGAGAGGGAGGAGAGGGUGCUAUACAUGGGAACACUGGAUUCUUUGCAAUUGCCUUUCCUUUGCAGGGCCUUGGAUCUCCUAGAAUCCUUCAGAGACUUCUGACCCAAGAGCACUCCAAAAUGAUCUGUUUGUUAAACUCUCAGUGACCUACAUGUUUGGAGAGAAAGCCCUUCUUGGAAUGCUCUACUCUGUGCUGCCAGCAGAAGACAUACUUAGUUCUAGAAUCUCAAAGUGAGUGUGGCCACCAGCAUGUGCCUGCCAAUGGAGCAGAGCUGGGGACAUGGACACUUUUAGGCCUGGCUUGACACAGGCCCACUCAUGCUGUGGGGUAGAAUUUUUUAAAUUUCUUUUUAUUUGAAUACCAUCUGUAUUUCAUGACUCUUUUGUGAAAAUAACUACUGAAGGAAUAAAUAUUUAAAAUACACGAGUAAGC